rnacentral:rRNA from 1 species
UACGGGGGGGGCAAGCGUUGUUCGGAAUUACUGGGCGUAAAGGGCUCGUAGGUGGCCAACUAAGUCAGACGUGAAAUCCCUCGGCUUAACCGGGGAACUGCGUCUGAUACUGGAUGGCUAGAGUUUGGGAGAGGGAUGCGGAAUUCCUGGUGUAGCGGUGAAAUGCGCAGAUAUCGAGAGGAACACCUGCGGCGAAGGCGGGUUGCUGGGCUGAUACUGACGCUGAGGCGCGAAAGCCAGGGGAGCGAACGGG